rnacentral:lncRNA from 1 species
ACAAAAAGAAGAAGAAAGAGGAAAAAGGAUCUGGUAGAGAGGAUACAAAAAUUAUUAAGCCACCCCAAUCAAAAAGAAAAAAAAGGAAGAGUAGGAAAAGGUAGAUGAACAAACCCCUUCCCCAGCCGAUUUUCCAAGUUGAAAUGCCCCCCAAACGGCACACCUUCCUCCUCUCUCACUAACUCCUUGAUUUUAUCCUAAAAUCCCUCCCCUUAUCCCUCCUUGAUUUUCUCCAUCAAAUCCUUCCCAACUCCCUCAAUAACUAGCAGUAUACUAAUCCAACUCCACCACCUACCCAGCUCAUGCAGCAA